rnacentral:tRNA from 1 species
GCCUGGGUGGCUCAGUCGGUUAAGCAUCUGACUUUGGCUCAGGUCAUGAUCUCAUGGUUUGUGGGUUCGAGCCCCACAUCGGGCU